ACCAAGCGCCGACCACGGAGCGAAGAGGCCACACCUCCACCGCCCCGCUAGUGGCGGAUUUGGCGCUCGGCGAGGAGCACAUGCGUUUGGACUCUUGGUACACACGAUCACAAUGGAAGAGGGUGUAGAAUUUUAUCCCUGCUAAGUAUCGAUGUUUAUGGGUGGAGUACAAAAGAAGAACCUCAAAGGACAACAUGGCAGCUGGAGAAAGGAGGAAGAACAGAGACAGACAGACAGAAUGUGAGCAGGGAGGAGCAGAGAGAAAGGGAGACAGAAUCUGAAGCAGACUUCAGGCUCUGAAGUGUCAGCACAGAGCCUGACAUGGGGAUCGAACUCACAGACCGCGAGAUCAUUACCUGAGCCGAAGUCAGAUGCUUUAACUGACUGAGCCACCCAGAUGCCCCGAAUGAAUGUAUCUUUAUCAUGUAAAAAGUCAUAUGAAAAUUAUUAAAUGUACUAAAAUUCCAUUUCAUCCUCUUCUUGGAUUGUAUCUUAUUUUAAUAAUUAUUCAUCCUUUCCUUUAGAUCACCUGUGGCUGAAAUGGUCAGCAGAGGCCAUGCCUGCAAAA